AUUGAACGCUGGCGGCAGGCCUAACACAUGCAAGUCGAACGAGUGGCGGACGGGUGAGUAAUGUCUGGGAAACUGCCCGAUGGAGGGGGAUAACUACUGGAAACGGUAGCUAAUACCGCAUACCAUCGGAUGAGCCCAGAUGGGAUUAGCUAGUAGGUGGGGUAAUGGCUCACCGAGGCUACGAUCCCUAGCUGGUAUGAGAGGCUGACCAGCCACACUGGACCUGAGACCCGGUCCAGACGCCUACGGGAGGCAGCAGUGGGGAAUAUUGCACAAUGGGCGCAAGCCUGAUGCAGCCAUGCCGCGUGUAUGAAGAAGGCCUUCGGGUUGUAAAGGACUUUCAGCGAGGAGGCGUUACUCGCAGAAGAAGCACCGGCUAACUCCGUGCCAGCAGCCGCGGUAAUUC
rnacentral:rRNA from 1 species